rnacentral:rRNA from 1 species
UGAGGAAUAUUGGACAAUGGAGGCAACUCUGAUCCAGCCAUGCCGCGUGCAGGAAGACUGCCCUAUGGGUUGUAAACUGCUUUUANACGGGAAGAAACACCGCUACGUG